rnacentral:rRNA from 1 species
AUCAACUUUCGAUGGUAGGAUAGAGGCCUACCAUGGUGGUAACGGGUAACGGGGUGUUAGGGCACGACACCGGAGAGGGAGCCUGAGAAACGGCUACCACAUCCAAGGAUGGCAGCAGGCGCGCAAAUUACCCAAUCCCGACACGGGGAGGUAGUGACAAUAAAUAACAAUACGGGGUUCUUUAGGAUCUCGUAAUUGGAAUGAGUACAAUUUAAAUCUCUUAACGAGGAACAAUUGGAGGGCAAGUCUGGUGCCAGCAGCCGCGGUAAUUCCAGCUCCAAUAGCGUAUAUUAAAGUUGUUGCAGUUAAAAAGCUCGUAGUUGAAUUUCGGGGUUAGUAGGUUGGUCAUGCCUCUGGUAUGUACUGGUCUCACUGAUUCCUCCUUCCUGAUGAGCCGUAAUGCCAUUAAUUUGGUGUUGCGGGGAAUUUGGACUGUUACUUUGAAAAAAUUAGAGUGUUUAAAGCAAGCUAACGCUUGAAUACAUUAGCAUGGAAUAAUGAAAUAGGACGUUCGAUCCUAUUUUGUUGGUUUCUAGGAUUGACGUAAUGAUCAAUAGGGAUAGUUGGGGGCAUUAGUAUUCAAUUGUCAGAGGUGAAAUUCUUGGAUUUAUUGAAGACUAACUACUGCGAAAGCAUUUGCCAAGGAUAUUUUCAUUAAUCAAGAACGAAAGUUAGGGGAUCGAAGACGAUCAGAUACCGUCGUAGUCUUAACCAUAAACUAUGCCGACUAGGGGAUCGGAUGAUGUUAAUUUUUUAAUGACUCAUUCGGCGCCUUACGGGAAACCAAAGUGUUUGGGUUC